rnacentral:rRNA from 1 species
AUGGCGGCGGCUGAGUCUUUGCGCUUAUAUCAAGAAAAAGAAAGAGUACAUCGCAAAUACACAUAUGGUGAGAACAUCUAUGAGUCAGCAAGGUCGGCCCAAGCUAUAUCAACUUUAGCGCAGAACUUUUCACGAGCAAGGUUGAAGCAAACUAAAAUUAAAAGACAUGGCUGGUCCAAGCCGCCUGAGGGCGUCAUCAAACUUAAUGUCGAUGUAGCCUUUGAUCAGGACACUGGUACAGGGGGUACGGGAGCAGUGCUGCGUGAUGAGGCCGGUUUCUUUGUCGCUGCUUCCUGCAGUGAUAUACCCUUUGUGGAAGACGCAGCGACGGCAGAGGCUAGAGGACUACGAGAUGGCCUCCUACUAGCGAAUGAAGUUGGUUGCAACAAAAUCUAUGUCGAAGCGGACUGUCUGGAGGUAAUCGAAAUCAUGCUGAGUGGCGGGAUCAGGACACUGGUACAGGGGGUACGGGAGCAGUGCUGUGUGAUGAGGCCGGUUUCUUUGUCGCUGCUUCCUGCAGUGAUAUACCCUUUGUGGAAGAUGCAGCGACGGCAGAGGCUAGAGGACUACGAGAUGGCCUCCUACUAG